rnacentral:rRNA from 1 species
CCCUUAGAGUUUGAUCCUGGCUCAGAGCGAACGCUGGCGGCGUGCUUAACACAUGCAAGUCGAGCGAGAAAGGGGGCUUCGGCCCCUGAGUACAGCGGCGAACGGGUGCGUAAUACAUGAGCAAUCUACCCUUGAGGCGGGAAUAACCCAGCGAAAGUUGGGCUAAUACCGGAUAAGACCACGAGAGGAAACUCUCGGGGCCAAAGGUAGCUCUCUUUUGGGGGCUGCCCUUCGGGGAGGGGCUCAUGUCCUAUCAGCUAGUUGGUAGGGUAACGGCCUACCAAGGCGAAGACGGGUAGCUGGUCUUAGAGGAUGAUCAGCCACACGGGGACUGAGACACGGCCCCGACUCCUACGGGAGGCAGCAGUGGGGAAUAUUGGGCAAUGGGCGCAAGCCUGACCCAGCGACGCCGCGUGGGUGAUGAAGGCCUUCGGGUCGUAAAGCCCUGUCGGGAGGAAAGAACGAUCGUGUGGGGAAUACCCGCGCGAUGUGACGGUACCUCCGAAGGAAGCACCGGCCAAUUCCGUGCCAGCAGCCGCGGUAAGACGGAAGGUGCAAGCGUUGCUCGGAAUCACUGGGCGUAAAGGGUGCGUAGGCGGCUUCUUAAGUCUGGUGUGAAAGCCCAGGGCUCAGCCCUGGAAGUGCACUAGAAACUGGGGAGCUUGAGUACCGGAGGGGGAGAGUGGAAUUCCUGGGUGUAGCGGUGAAAUGCGUAGAUAUCAGAGGAAUACCGGUGGCGAAAGCGACUCUCUGGACGUUACUGACGCUGAGCACGAAAGCGUGGGGAGCAAACAGAUAGAUACCCUGGUAGUCACGCCGUAAC